rnacentral:rRNA from 1 species
UACGUAGGGUGCAAGCGUUGUCCGGAAUUAUUGGGCGUAAAGAGCUCGUAGGCGGUUUGUCGCGUCUGCUGUGAAAACCCGAGGCUCAACCUCGGGCCUGCAGUGGGUACGGGCAGACUAGAGUGCGGUAGGGGAGAUUGGAAUUCCUGGUGUAGUGGUGGAAUGCGUAGAGAUCCGGAGGAACACCAGUGGCGAAGGCGGCUGCCUGGGCCUGGCCUGACGCUGAGGCGCGAAAGCGUGGGGAGCGAUCCGG